rnacentral:rRNA from 1 species
CUCGUAGGUGGCCCCAUAAGUCAGACGUGAAAUCCCUCGGCUCAACCGAGGAACUGCGUCUGAGACUGCGGGGCUUGAAUCCGGGAGAGGGAUGCGGAAUUCCAGGUGUAGCGGUGAAAUGCGUAGAUAUCUGGAGGAACACCGGUGGCGAAGGCGGCAUCCUGGACCGGUAUUGACACUGAGGAGCGAAAGCCAGGGGAGCAAACGGGAUUAGAUACCCCGGUAGUCCUGGCCCUAAACGAUGAAUGCUUGGUGUAGCGGGUAUCGAUCCCUGCUGUGCCGAAGCUAACGCAUUAAGCAUUCCGCCUGGGGAGUACGGUCGCAAGGCUGAA